rnacentral:rRNA from 1 species
UACGAAGGGGGGCUAGCGUUACUCGGAAUUACUGGGCGUAAAGGGCGCGUAGGCGGCGCUCCAAGUUAGGCGUGAAAGUCCUGGGCUCAACCUGGGAACUGCGCUUAAGACUGGAGUGCUUGAGGAUGGAAGAGGGUCGUGGAAUUCCCAGUGUAGAGGUGAAAUUCGUAGAUAUUGGGAAGAACACCGGUGGCGAAGGCGGCGACCUGGUCCAUUACUGACGCUGAGGCGCGAUAGCGUGGGGGAGCAAACAGG